rnacentral:rRNA from 1 species
AUUGAACGCUGGCGGCAGACCUAACACAUGCAAGUCGAGCGAGCGGCGGACGGGUGAGUAAUGUAUGGGGACUGCCCGAUAGAGGGGGAUAACUACUGGAAACGGUAGCUAAUACCGCAUACUAUCGGAUAACCCAUAUGGGAUUAGCUAGUAGGUGAGGUAAUGGCUCACCUAGGCGACGAUCCCUCGCUGGUCUGAGAGGAUGAUCAGCCACACUGGGACUGAGAAACGCCCCAGACUCCUACGGAGGCAGAAGUGGGGAUUAUUGCACAAUGGGCGCAAGCCUACGGAAGCCAUGCCGCGUGUAUGAAGAAGGCCCUAGGGUUGUAAAGUACUUUCAGUCGGGAGGCGGUACCGGCAGAAGAAGCAACGGCUAACUCCGUGCCAGCAGCCGCGGUAAUUC